rnacentral:rRNA from 1 species
GACGUAGGGCGCGAGCGUUGUCCGGAUUUAUUGGGCGUAAAGAGCUCGUAGGCGGCUCGUUGCGUCGGCUGUGAAAACCCACAGCUUAACUGUGGGCCUGCAGCCGAUACGGGCGAGCUAGAGUUCGGUAGGGGAGACUGGAAUUCCUGGUGUAGCGGUGGAAUGCACAGAUAUCAGGAGGAACACCGGUGGCGAAGGCGGGUCUCUGGGCAGUAACUGACGCUGAGGAGCGAAAGCGUGGGGAGCGAACAGG